GGGGAAAAACCAACAGGGAUUGCCCCAGUAACGGCGAGUGAAGCGGCAGGAGCUCAAAUUUGAAAUCUGGGGUUACCAACCUCUGAGUUGUAAUUUGGAGAGGUGCCUUUUGGGGGGAGCACUGGCUGAUGUUCCUUGGAACAGGACGUCGCAGAGGGUGAGAAUCCCGUGCUAGGCCAGCUGCCUCCUCCUGUGUGAAGUGCCUUCGACGAGUCGAGUUGUUUGGGAAUGCAGCUCCAAGUGGGUGGUAAAUUUCAUCUAAAGCUAAAUACUAGUGGGAGACCGAUAGCGCACAAGUAGAGUGAUCGAAAGAUGAAAAGCACUUUGAAAAUAGAGUCAAAAAGUACGUGAAAUUGUUGAAAGGGAAGCGCUUGAGACCAGACUCAGACCUGAGCAAACAUUGUGCCCCUUGGGGCCAUGCAAUUGCCUGGGGCUGGGCCAGCAUCAGUUGGUGUGGCAGGACAAUGGUGUGGGGAAUGUGGUUCCCCUUGGGGAGUGUUAUUAGUCCCAUGCUCAAUGCUGUCAAUGCCGACUGAGGACCGCGCCUCGGCUAGGAUGCUGGCUCAAUGGCCUUCAGCGACCCGUCUUGAAACACGGACCAAGGAGUCUAACAUCUAUGCGAGUGUUUGGGUAUCAAACCCUUGCGCGGAAUGAAAGUGAACGGAGGUGGGAACCCCUUGCUGGGCGCACCAUCGACCGAUCCUGAUGUCUUCGGAUGGAUUUGAGUAGGA
rnacentral:rRNA from 1 species